rnacentral:rRNA from 1 species
UACGGGGGGGGCAAGCGUUGUUCGGAAUUACUGGGCGUAAAGCGCGUGUAGGCUGCUCCGCAAGUCGGGUGUGAAAGCCCUGGGCUCAACCCAGGAAGUGCACUCGAAACUGCAGAGCUUGAGUCCUGGAGAGGAAGGCGGAAUUCUCGGUGUAGAGGUGAAAUUCGUAGAUAUCGAGAGGAACACCUGUGGCGAAGGCGGCCUUCUGGACAGUGACUGACGCUGAGACGCGAAAGCGUGGGGAGCAAACAGG